rnacentral:rRNA from 1 species
CCUACGGGUGGCAGCAGUGAGGAAUAUUGGUCAAUGGACGAGAGUCUGAACCAGCCAAGUAGCGUGAAGGAUGACUGCCCUAUGGGUUGUAAACUUCUUUUAUAUGGGAAUAAAAUGUUCCACGUGUGGGAUUUUGUAUGUACCAUAUGAAUAAGGAUCGGCUAACUCCGUGCCAGCAGCCGCGGUAAUACGGAGGAUUCGAGCGUUAUCCGGAUUUAUUGGGUUUAAAGGGAGCGUAGGUGGAUUGUUAAGUCAGUUGUGAAAGUUUGCGGCUCAACCGUAAAAUUGCAGUUGAAACUGGCAGUCUUGAGUACAGUAGAGGUGAGCGGAAUUCGUGGUGUAGCGGUGAAAUGCUUAGAUAUCACGAAGAACUCCGAUUGCGAAGGCAGUUCACUGGACUGCAACUGACACUGAGGCUCGAAAGUGUGGGUAUCAAACAGGAGUAGACACCCGUGUAGUC